rnacentral:tRNA from 1 species
AAAAACAAAGCGAUUUUAUUGCAUUCAGUUUCGACCUGAACUUAGAUUAAUUCUGUUUUUA